UACGGAGGGUGCAAGCGUUAUCCGGAUUCACUGGGUUUAAAGGGUGCGUAGGUGGGCAGAUAAGUCAGUGGUGAAAUCUCUGGGCUUAACCCGGAAACUGCCAUUGAUACUAUUUGUCUUGAAUUCUCUGGAGGUAAGCGGAAUAUGUCAUGUAGCGGUGAAAUGCUUAGAUAUGACAUAGAACACCCAUUGCGAAGGCAGCUUACUACGGAGACAUUGACACUGAGGCACGAAAGCGUGGGGAUCAAACAGG
rnacentral:rRNA from 1 species